UACGUAGGUGGCAAGCGUUGUCCGGAAUUAUUGGGCGUAAAGGGCUCGUAGGCGGCCAACUAAGUCGGACGUGAAAUCCCUCAGCUUAACUGGGGAACUGCGUCCGAUACUGGAUGGCUUGGAUUUGGGAGAGGGAUGCGGAAUUCCAGGUGUAGCGGUGAAAUGCGUAGAUAUCUGGAGGAACACCGGUGGCGAAGGCGGCAUCCUGGACCAAUAUUGACGCUGAGGAGCGAAAGCUAGGGGAGCAAACGGG
rnacentral:rRNA from 1 species